rnacentral:rRNA from 1 species
UCAAUAGUCUUUUAAUUGAAGGCCAGAAUGAAUGGUUGAACGAGAAAUACACUGUCUCUUAUUAAAUAAAUUGAAAUUUACUUUUAAGUGAAAAGGCUUAAAUAUAUUUAAGGGACGAUAAGACCCUAUAAAUCUUUAUAUUAGUUAGUUAUAUAUUUUAUAAGUAUUUAUAUAAGUAAAAUAAAUAACAAACAAUAUUUUGUUGGGGUGAUAUAAAUAUAAUAAAUAACUAUUCUACUUUUAUUACAAUAAUAUUUGAUUAACAUCAAAAAGAUCCUUUAUUUAAGAUUCUAAGAAUAAGUUACUUUAGGGAUAACAGCGUUAUCUUUUUUGAGAGUCCUCAUCAAAAAAAAAAUUGCGACCUCGAUGUUGAAUUAAAAUAUCUUUAUGGUGCAGAAGCUAUAUAAGAAAGUCUGUUCGACUUUUAAAAUUUUACGUGAUC